rnacentral:rRNA from 1 species
CCUACGGGUGGCAGCAGUAGGGAAUCUUCCACAAUGGACGCAAGCCUGAUGGAGCAACGCCGCGUGGGUGAAGAAGGUCUUCGGAUCGUAAAACUCUGUUGUUAGAGAAGAACAUGCGUUAGAGUAACUGUUCACGUUUCGACGGUAUCUAACCAGAAAGCCACGGCUAACUACGUGCCAGCAGCCGCGGUAAUACGUAGGUGGCAAGCGUUAUCCGGAUUUAUUGGGCGUAAAGGGAACGCAGGCGGUCUUUUAAGUCUGAUGUGAAAGCCUUCGGCUUAACCGGGGAAGUGCAUUGGAAACUGGGAGACUUGAGUGCAGAAGAGGAGAGUGGAACUCCAUGUGUAGCGGUGAAAUGCGUAGAUAUAUGGAAGAACACCAGUGGCGAAGGCGGCUCUCUGGUCUGUAACUGACGCUGAGGUUCGAAAGCGUGGGUAGCAAACAGGAUUAGAUACCCUAGUAGUC